rnacentral:tRNA from 1 species
CAAAAUGUAGCUUAAUCUAUAAAGCAUUUAGUUUACACCUAAAAGAUUUCAGUCUAAUUCUGACCAUUUUGA